CACAAGGCACCCAUCUGCCAAUCUCCAGUAGAGUUCUCAGCAGACGCAAAGGACAAAGCCCGGGGUGCAAACAAGAUGGGGAGCUGGAGCAAAAACCCCUUCUAUACUCAGGUGGAACCCCUGCAUGACUACGCCCUAUGAAAGUCAGUGAAUCAGAAAAACCUCAGCCCCACAAAGCGAGAUGGCAAGCCAAAUCAUGUCAGCGUCGGUUCUUGGUGGAGAGAGUGAAAAUACAUAAUUUUCCUGAGAAAUCUAACAGCCUUACUACAUCCUCCUCUCUAGGGAUGAGGCUGCCUGCCUUCAAAGUUUAAAAAAUCCUAAUGAGUGCUGAUUAUUUUUCUUCUAACUGCAGAGAUUCCUAGAUUCUUUUGGAAACCAGCAGUUAUUUGGAGGAGAGUCCUUUUUUCUGGCCUUGACAGCCACCCUGGAAGUUCCCUGCUCCUGACUUAGCGGCUCAGACAGCAGAGGACAGAGGACAGUUGUUUUCCUUACCAUUUGUACUCCUUCCAUCAGAGUAUGCCCGUGGGCCCUCACUGACCCCCAAGGUGGGUGCCACCCUGCUGAUGACUCCCUAGGCUUAUGCUGAAGCCUCCAAAAGCCCCUGCAGUUAUAAGGGGGCAGCCAACCAGGGAGCCAGUAUUAUCUGGGCGUUCUAACUGUAUUGACGUGACUCCUUCAGAUGGGUAUGAGAAACCUUUGAAAAAAUACACCCUAAAGAAUUCUUUGUUUAUGACAUAGGGUUAGAGGGGGAAAAAAUGAAUAAAUAAAAUAAAUAAAUAAAUAAAUAAAUCAAUAAAAAACCAAAACCAAAAACACCAAAAAAA